CACCCUUGAAACCCCUUAUCUCUGAAACACUCUCUAUGCUCUCCUAAACCCUAAUCACCUCAUGUCUUAUCUCACCUCAUUCCCACCGGAAUCCAUGGCAUCUCCAGUCGUGGAUAGCCUGUGGUCACCCUCUAUCAUCUUUGAGCCUAAGCUACUCAAGGUUUGGAGGCUUGACCUCGAUGGUCUCUUUUCAGAUCCGCCUUAAAUCCGUAGAUCUAUGGUUUUCCGACCACGCUCCGGCAUGGUCAAGCACUGGAAGCUUAAUUCAUGAACAUUUGGACUAGGGAUUUGAUCUUGUUCUUUCAAGACUUAAUCACAUCUAGGAUUUCUCUGAAACCCUAAGUCAUUCUAGGUUCUUUCACCAUUAUUUGUUUUGAUCUGUGCUAUGUAUAUGUUCUUCAUAAUGUUUUGAGUGUUUUCCCCAAAUUUCCUUCUCAAAAAUCGUUUGAUUUCAAAUUAGGGUUUCUGAAAGUCUUUUGAUUCUUGUUGUUCUUUUCUUUUAGAUGUUUGUCUGUAUUAUGCUCGUAUGUUUUCCUUCUCUAUUACGCAUGUAUUGUCCUUCUUUUCUUUUAUAUGUAUGCUCGCAUGAUUAAGCGGUGUUAAAUUAUCCUCACUCUUCUACCAUGUGUGUUUACUAUUGAGUUUCUUGAAUUUUGCAUUUCUGAACUCUGUUUGUGUUCUUGUUAAGCAUGUUUCGUCUAUUCCGGACUUGUCUAAGUUCCGAAAUUCCAAAACAUGUCCUUUUAUUCUCUUAAAUGGAUUUUCUUUCUCUGAUAGUUUCAAACCUGCUAUCAUGGUUUGUUUGUUUCUCAUGAGACUCCUUGAGCCUGUUCACCUACCUUCUCG
rnacentral:lncRNA from 1 species